rnacentral:rRNA from 1 species
UUGGAGGGCAAGUCUGGUGCCAGCAGCCGCGGUAAUUCCAGCUCCAAUAGCGUAUAUUAAAGUUGUUGCAGUUAAAAAGCUCGUAGUUGAAUUUCGGGAUCGACGGGUCGGUCGCGCCUCUGGUGUGUACUGGCCCUGUCGGUUUCUCCCUUCUGACGAACCACGAUGUCAUUAAUUUGGUGUCGUGGGAAAUCAGGACUGUUACUUUGAAAAAUUAGAGUGUUUAAAGCAGGCAUUCGCUUGAAUACAUUAGCAUGGAAUAAUGAAAUAGGACGUUUGAUCUUAUUUUGUUGGUUUCUAAGAUCGACGUAAUGAUUAAUAGGGAUAGUUGGGGGCAUUAGUAUUCAAUUGUCAGAGGUGAAAUUCUUGGAUUUAUUGAAGACUAACUACUGCGAAAGCAUUUGCCAAGGAUGUUUUCAUUAAUCAAGAACGAAAGUUAGGGGAUCGAAGACGAUCAGAUACCGUCGUAGUCUUAACCAUAAACUAUGCCGACUAGGGAUCGGAUGAUGUUAAUUUUUAAUGACUCAUUCGGCGCCUUACGGG